GGAGGAAUAUUGGUCAAUGGGCGCAGGCCUGAACCAGCCAAGUCGCGUGAGGGAAGACGGUCCUACGGAUUGUAAACCUCUUUUGUCGGGGAGUAACGUGCGGGACGGGUCCCGUAUUGAGAGUACCCGAAGAAAAAGCAUCGGCUAACUCCGUGCCAGCAGCCGCGGUAAUACGGAGGAUGCGAGCGUUAUCCGGAUUUAUUGGGUUUAAAGGGUGCGUAGGCGGUUUGUCAAGUCAGCGGUCAAACUGCGGGGCUUAACCUCGUAUUGCCGUUGAAACUGGCUGACUAGCGUGGCGUCGAGGUGUGCGGAAUGCGUUGUGUAGCGGUGAAAUGCAUAGAUAUGACGCAGAACUCCGAUUGCGAAGGCAGCACACCGGGCGCCUACGGACGCUGAGGCACGAAAGCGUGGGUAUCGAACAGGAUUAGAUACCCUGGUAGU
rnacentral:rRNA from 1 species